rnacentral:rRNA from 1 species
GACGAACGCUGGCGGCGUGCUUAACACAUGCAAGUCGAACGGUAAGGCCCUUCGGGGUCCACGAGUGGCGAACGGGGGAGUAACACGUGGGUGAUCUGCCCUGCACUUCGGGAUAAGCCUGGGAAACUGGGUCUAAUACCGGAUAGGACCACUGCCUGCAUGGGUGGGGGUGGAAAGCUUUUGCGGUGUGGGAUGGGCCCGCGGCCUAUCAGGUUGUUGGUGGGGUGAUGGCCUACCAAGGCGACGACGGGUAGCCGGCCUGAGAGGGUGACCGGACACACUGGGACUGAGAUACGGCCCAGACUCCUACGGGAGGCAGCAGUGGGGAAUAUUGCACAAUGGGCGCAAGCCUGAUGCAGCGACGCCGCGUGAGGGAUGACGGCCUUCGCGUUGUAAACCUCUUUCAGCACCGACGAAGCGCAAGUGACGGUAGGUGCAGAAGAAGGACCGGCCAACUACGUGCCAGCCGCCGCAGUAA